rnacentral:lncRNA from 1 species
UUUCUCUCAAACAUUACUUAAAAUAAUAAUAUUAUAUCAUACAAAAUAAAUUUGAAAAAUUCUAAAAAUAUAUAUAUAUAAAAGAAAUUUUUCUAAAAUUUAUUUUAAAAAUAAAUAAGAUAUAUAAUUUAAUAUAAAACAAAUAUAUAAAAUUUAUCAUAAACAAAUAUAUAAAAUAUAAAAUAGUAAAAAAAAACAUUGUAAAGAAUGCAAUGAAAUCGUUAUUCUCUAGUCUCU